GACGAACGCUGGCGGCGUGCUUAACACAUGCAAGUCGAACGGAAAGGCCCUGCUUUUGUGGGGUGCUCGAGUGGCGAACGGGUGAGUAACACGUGAGUAACCUGCCCUUGACUUUGGGAUAACUUCAGGAAACUGGGGCUAAUACCGGAUAGGAGCUCCUGCUGCAUGGUGGGGGUUGGAAAGUUUCGGCGGUUGGGGAUGGACUCGCGGCUUAUCAGCUUGCUGGUGGGGUAGUGGCUUACCAAGGCUUUGACGGGUAGCCGGCCUGAGAGGGUGACCGGCCACAUUGGGACUGAGAUACGGCCCAGACUCCUACGGGAGGCAGCAGUGGGGAAUAUUGCACAAUGGGCGGAAGCCUGAUGCAGCCACGCCGCGUGCGGGAUGACGGCCUUCGGGUUGUAAACCGCUUUCGCCUGUGACGAAGCGUGAGUGACGGUAAUGGGUAAAGAAGCACCGGCUAACUACGUG
rnacentral:rRNA from 1 species